GACGAAUGCUGGCGGCGUGCUUAACACAUGCAAGUCGAACGGAAAGGCCCUGCUUUUGUGGGGUGCUCGAGUGGCGAACGGGUGAGUAACACGUGAGUAACCUGCCCUUGACUUUGGGAUAACUUCAGGAAACUGGGGCUAAUACCGGAUAGGAGCUCCUGCUGCAUGGUGGGGGUUGGAAAGUUUCGGCGGUUGGGGAUGGACUCGCGGCUUAUCAGCUUGUUGGUGGGGUAGUGGCUUACCAAGGCUUUGACGGGUAGCCGGCCUGCGAGGGUGACCGGCCACAUUGGGACUGAGAUACGGCCCAGACACCUACGGGAGGCAGGAGUGGGGAAUAUGGCACAAGGGGCGGAAGCAUGAUGCAGCAACGCCGCGUGCGGGAUGACGGCAUUCGGGUUGUAAACCGCUUUCGCCUGUGACGAAGCGUGAGUGACGGUAAUGGGUAAAGAAGCACCGGCUAACUACGU
rnacentral:rRNA from 1 species